rnacentral:rRNA from 1 species
AGCGAACGUUAGCGGCGGGCCUAACACAUGCAAGUCGAGCGAGAAAGUGGCUUCGGCCAUGAGUAAAGCGGCGGACGGGUGAGUAACACGUAGGUAAUCUUCCUUUGAGCGGGGGACAACGAGCCGAAAGGCUCGCUAAUACCGCAUACGUUUCUCGAGACUCCGGUCUUGGGAAGGAAAGCUAGGUAGCAAUAUCCGGCACUCGAAGAGGAGCCUGCGUCGCAUCAGCUAGNGGUGGGGUAACGGCCUACCAAGGCGAAGACGCGUAGCUGGUCUGAGAGGAUGAUCAGCCACACUGGGACUGAGACACGGCCCAGACUCCUACGGGAGGCAGCAGUGGGGAAUAUUGGACAAUGGGCGCAAGCCUGAUCCAGCCACGCCGCGUGAGUGAUGAAGGCCU